rnacentral:lncRNA from 1 species
UUUGUUUUAUCUCUCCAGCCGCCACACCUUCUCCCAUUUUCCCAACUCCUUCGUCAACCACUAGAGAAGCUAAGGUAUGUUUCUAUCUUCUUUAAAUCUCACUUUUAUGUCAUUAAUCACUAACAUAUAUAUCAACAUUUCGUUGGUUACUUUAUUUCUUCCUUUUUAUUAUUUUCAAUGUGUACAUCAGAUUUUAUUUUGGUAGAAGCAUCUUUAUUCUUCUUCUUAGUUAAUUGGGAAAAGAAAAAGUUAUGAGGAGAAAAGUUUUAAUCUUUACGUUUAUUAUUAGAUUGGUAUAUCAGUAAUACUUUAUCUCGUUAUGGUUGAAGCUUCUGAAAUAUGAUUCAGGAGAUGCUUUAAUCAUUUUUUAUGAAAUUAAUUUUGAUCCUUUUCCUUAGUGGUUUCAGGUGAUUACGGAUUUUUUAACCGAUAUUACUCUUUUAUCGACGCGAAUGAAUUCUAUUGGUAUUACCUACGCCUGUUGUUGCUCAUGUUAAUAUAUAUGUCGGUAUCUUUCCUAUAGUUCUUCCAUGAAAUGAUAAUGUAGGACUACAUGCUUGUUCUUUGAUUGAGCUAAGGCUUUGUUAAAAGAAACUUCUAGGGCAAAAGAUUGAAUUGUAUUAUGAAAUAUUUGGAGUUUUACUAUCCGUUUUAAGAUUAUUGGGAGUCUUAUUAUCUCAUAAAAUUGGUCAUAUAAGCAUGUUAAGGAGAUAUUAGUAAAGCUAGUACUAAUUAAACCAUUUAGAGAGAUAUAUGAUCUUUUUAUGAGAAGGUAAUCUAUAAUGCUUUUCUAUAAAAUAUAUGACCAUUCUGAACCUAUUAAUAAAGUGUAUAUAUGAUCAAUUAUUUUUUGUUUCCUAAUGUUAAUUUACUUUAUCAAAACUGACAGGCAAAUUGUGGAAUCAUCAAGCUAAGAUUGUAUUGAUCAGACUAAGGUGCAGUUGGAGCAAUAGAAGGAGAGAAAGGGGAAGAUUGUGUGGCUUUUGGUCUCAAGCAAAAUAUUGCUAACAUGAUCCGAUACAUAGAGAAUUAUGUAUUUUAAAUGUUUUGAAAUUUUGAAUAUACAAUUAUGUGCAAGUUGGAACCUAUUUUGGAAUCUAAAAGAUUUGGAUUCUUA